ACCUGACGCUGGAAUCUUGGGGGCUGCGGUGGUGGUUCAGCAGUGUGUGCAUUUUCAUGGCACCCUGGCUAGACGAACGCCCCCUCACUCUCCCUGCCUGAGAACAUGUCCACACGUUAAAUCUUUGGUGGUGCAGCAUUUCCUAAGAGGCUAAAGAUAGCCCUCUCCCCCCUCUGGAAUCCUCUUUCAAACCUCUGGCAUUCAUUUUUCAAGUUCUGAUGCUCAUGAGCAGUUAUUUUAUGUGUUUUGCCUGCAUUUAUGUCUAUGUGAAUGCAGUGCCUGUGGAGUCCAGAAGAGGGCGUUGGCUCACCUGAGACUGGAGUUACAGAUUGCUGUGAGCUGCCCU
rnacentral:lncRNA from 1 species